AAACUGGGAUUAGAUACCCCACUAUGUAUGGUCGUUAACAUUGAUGGUUUUAUACCCAAACCAUCCGCCUGGGGACUACGAGCAAUAGCUUAAAACCCAAAGGACUUGGCGGUGCUUUAGACCCCCCUAGAGGAGCCUGUUCUA
rnacentral:rRNA from 1 species